rnacentral:rRNA from 1 species
CCUACGGGCGGCAGCAGUGGGGAAUAUUGCACAAUGGGCGAAAGCCUGAUGCAGCAACGCCGCGUGAGCGAUGAAGGCCUUCGGGUCGUAAAGCUCUGUCCUCAAGGAAGAUAAUGACGGUACGUGAGGAGGAAGCCCCGGCUAACUACGUGCCAGCAGCCGCGGUAAUACGUAGGGGGCUAGCGUUAUCCGGAAUUACUGGGCGUAAAGGGUGCGUAGGUGGUUUCUUAAGUCAGAGGUGAAAGGCUACGGUUCAACCGUAGUAAGCCGUUGAAACUGGGAAACUUGAGUGCAGGAGAGGAGAGUGGAAUUCCUAGUGUAGCGGUGAAAUGCGUAGAUAUUAGGAGGAACACCAGUUGCGAAGGCGGCUCUCUGGACUGUAACUGACACUGAGGCACGAAAGCGUGGGGAGCAAACAGGAUUAGAUACCCUAGUAGUC